rnacentral:rRNA from 1 species
GAGUUUAUUUGAUGACUCGGCUGGCGGCUUCCGGGAAACCAAAGUUUUUCGGUUCCAGGGGAAGUAUGGUUGCAAAGCUGAAACUUAAAGGAAUUGACGGAAGGGCACCACCAGGAGUGGAGCCUGCGGCUUAAUUUGACUCAACACGGGGAAACUCACCCGGCCCGGACACUGGAAGGAUUGACAGAUUGAGAGCUCUUUCUUGAUUCAGUGGGUGGUGGUGCAUGGCCGUUCUUAGUUGGUGGAGUGAUUUGUCUGGUUAAUUCCGAUAACGAACGAGACUCUAGCCUAUUAAAUAGACGAUGGCAUUCGUUUGACUGUCAUUGAAUGUUGCUUCUUAGAGGGACAGGCGGCGUCGCAGCCGCAUGAGAAAGAGCAAUAACAGGUCUGUGAUGCCCCUAGAUGUCCGGGGCCGCACGCGCGCUACACUGAAAAGAUCAACGCGCAUGUGCUUCCCUAUUCCGAAANGAAUGGGAAACCGAGUGAACCAUUUUCGUGCUUGGGANUGGGGA